rnacentral:misc_RNA from 1 species
GGAGAAAUGAAAAUGGAUUAUAUUAAAAAAAAGGAUUUUAACGGCGAAAGGAGAAGAGAAUUAGACACAAAAUGCGCUAUUAAUUCAUUAAUUACAGCAUUACACUUGUCACCAUGGACAAAAUGAUCAAGUGUAGAUAACCAAAGGUACUUUACUCGAAAUUGAGUACAGGAAUGUCCUCUGCCGUCUAGUUGUCCAGUUCUUGCCCUUCAG